rnacentral:rRNA from 1 species
UACGUAGGGUGCAAGCGUUGUCCGGAAUUAUUGGGCGUAAAGAGCUCGUAGGCGGUCUGUCGCGUCGGCUGUGAAAACCCGGGGCUCAACCCCGGGCCUGCAGUCGAUACGGGCAGACUAGAGUGUGGUAGGGGAGAACGGAAUUCCUGGUGUAGCGGUGAAAUGCGCAGAUAUCAGGAGGAACACCGGUGGCGAAGGCGGUUCUCUGGGCAUUACCUGACGCUGAGGAGCGAAAGUGUGGGGAGCGAACAGG